UCACACAGCAUUUCAGCUAGAGUCUGUUCCCAGACAUUGCACCUGGUGCUGUUAGGCUGGAAUUAAAGUGUCUU
rfam:Fukomys damarensis contig100373, whole genome shotgun sequence.